AGCGUACACGGUGGAUGCCCUGGCAGUCAGAGGCGAUGAAGGACGUGCUAAUCUGCGAUAAGCGUCGGUAAGGUGAUAUGAACCGUUAUAACCGGCGAUUUCCGAAUGGGGAAACCCAGUGUGAUUCGUCACACUAUCAUUAACUGAAUCCAUAGGUUAAUGAGGCGAACCGGGGGAACUGAAACAUCUAAGUACCCCGAGGAAAAGAAAUCAACCGAGAUUCCCCCAGUAGCGGCGAGCGAACGGGGAGGAGCCCAGAGCCUGAAUCAGUGUGUGUGUUAGUGGAAGCGUCUGGAAAGGCGCGCGAUACAGGGUGACAGCCCCGUACACAAAAAUGCACAUGCUGUGAGCUCGAUGAGUAGGGCGGGACACGUGGUAUCCUGUCUGAAUAUGGGGGGACCAUCCUCCAAGGCUAAAUACUCCUGACUGACCGAUAGUGAACCAGUACCGUGAGGGAAAGGCGAAAAGAACCCCGGCGAGGGGAGUGAAAAAGAACCUGAAACCGUGUACGUACAAGCAGUGGGAGCACGCUUAGGCGUGUGACUGCGUACCUUUUGUAUAAUGGGUCAGCGACUUAUAUUCUGUAGCAAGGUUAACCGAAUAGGGGAGCCGAAGGGAAACCGAGUCUUAACUGGGCGUUAAGUUGCAGGGUAUAGACCCGAAACCCGGUGAUCUAGCCAUGGGCAGGUUGAAGGUUGGGUAACACUAACUGGAGGACCGAACCGACUAAUGUUGAAAAAUUAGCGGAUGACUUGUGGCUGGGGGUGAAAGGCCAAUCAAACCGGGAGAUAGCUGGUUCUCCCCGAAAGCUAUUUAGGUAGCGCCUCGUGAAUUCAUCUCCGGGGGUAGAGCACUGUUUCGGCAAGGGGGUCAUCCCGACUUACCAACCCGAUGCAAACUGCGAAUACCGGAGAAUGUUAUCACGGGAGACACACGGCGGGUGCUAACGUCCGUCGUGAAGAGGGAAACAACCCAGACCGCCAGCUAAGGUCCCAAAGUCAUGGUUAAGUGGGAAACGAUGUGGGAAGGCCCAGACAGCCAGGAUGUUGGCUUAGAAGCAGCCAUCAUUUAAAGAAAGCGUAAUAGCUCACUGGUCGAGUCGGCCUGCGCGGAAGAUGUAACGGGGCUAAACCAUGCACCGAAGCUGCGGCAGCGACGCUUAUGCGUUGUUGGGUAGGGGAGCGUUCUGUAAGCCUGUGAAGGUGUACUGUGAGGUAUGCUGGAGGUAUCAGAAGUGCGAAUGCUGACAUAAGUAACGAUAAAGCGGGUGAAAAGCCCGCUCGCCGGAAGACCAAGGGUUCCUGUCCAACGUUAAUCGGGGCAGGGUGAGUCGACCCCUAAGGCGAGGCCGAAAGGCGUAGUCGAUGGGAAACAGGUUAAUAUUCCUGUACUUGGUGUUACUGCGAAGGGGGGACGGAGAAGGCUAUGUUGGCCGGGCGACGGUUGUCCCGGUUUAAGCGUGUAGGCUGGUUUUCCAGGCAAAUCCGGAAAAUCAAGGCUGAGGCGUGAUGACGAGGCACUACGGUGCUGAAGCAACAAAUGCCCUGCUUCCAGGAAAAGCCUCUAAGCAUCAGGUAACAUCAAAUCGUACCCCAAACCGACACAGGUGGUCAGGUAGAGAAUACCAAGGCGCUUGAGAGAACUCGGGUGAAGGAACUAGGCAAAAUGGUGCCGUAACUUCGGGAGAAGGCACGCUGAUAUGUAGGUGAAGUCCCUCGCGGAUGGAGCUGAAAUCAGUCGAAGAUACCAGCUGGCUGCAACUGUUUAUUAAAAACACAGCACUGUGCAAACACGAAAGUGGACGUAUACGGUGUGACGCCUGCCCGGUGCCGGAAGGUUAAUUGAUGGGGUUAGCGCAAGCGAAGCUCUUGAUCGAAGCCCCGGUAAACGGCGGCCGUAACUAUAACGGUCCUAAGGUAGCGAAAUUCCUUGUCGGGUAAGUUCCGACCUGCACGAAUGGCGUAAUGAUGGCCAGGCUGUCUCCACCCGAGACUCAGUGAAAUUGAACUCGCUGUGAAGAUGCAGUGUACCCGCG
rnacentral:rRNA from 1 species